rnacentral:lncRNA from 1 species
GGACACUGGGCUGGACUGCAUUCUCAAGUGUCUGAAACACAGUGGACACACACACACACACAGGCAACAACCUGAAGCAUCUCUAAUUGAAUUUCGGGUUUUGCUGAUUCGAAUUCUGCUCAGAGUUCUGCUGCUGCUGCUGCUGCUGCUGCUCUGCUGCUGCAUGGCUGCAGUUGCGUGUUAUCUUGUAUUUGUUUAUUUUUAUAUUUUGCUGGCAGUCAGCCACUGAUGGAAAGAUUACUGCUGCAAGCCAAGGCAGGCUGCUGCCAGCAGCAGCUUGGAGCAGCUGUUGCUUGUCAGCCAUUGAGACAUUACAAAGCGAAGCCAUUUACAUGGCUGCACACACAUACACACACACACAAGCGCACAUACAUACACACAUACGCAGACACACCCCACACUCAUUUCAUUAUUAAAUCAAAAAAGUUGAGUAAAUUUCUGCCAGCGGCUGUACUCCCUGCCUGUCUUUUUCUCUGUGUGUGUUUGUAACAAUUCAACUUGAUUGCCAUUUGUUUUUAGCGAGCUGCUGCCCAACGCACCCCCCGCCCGCACACCCACGAACAGCACUACAUGCGGAAAAUGUUUUGCGGCCAACACACACACACACACACACACAUCAGCAUCUCCCUCUCCCACUCGACAGC